rnacentral:rRNA from 1 species
AGACAGCAGUAGCCGCGGUAAUACGUAGGUCCCGAGCGUUGUCCGGAUUUAUUGGGCGUAAAGCGAGCGCAGGCGGUUAGAUAAGUCUGAAGUUAAAGGCUGUGGCUUAACCAUAGUACGCUUUGGAAACUGUUUAACUUGAGUGCAAGAGGGGAGAGUGGAAUUCCAUGUGUAGCGGUGAAAUGCGUAGAUAUAUGGAGGAACACCGGUGGCGAAAGCGGCUCUCUGGCUUGUAACUGACGCUGAGGCUCGAAAGCGUGGGGAGCAAACAGGAUUAGAUACCCGCGUAGUCCCUGUCUCUUAUACA